rfam:Brassica napus, WGS project CCCW01000000 data, contig: 850
GGAAUAUAAGAAUCUGUCUCUAACUUUUAAUUAAAAAAGUUAAGAACCGGCUCUUAAAUAAGAGUUUUAAGAACCGGUUUUUAUUUUUUUUAUUUAAAAAUUAAGAGACGGGUUCUUAUAUUCC